AUCCUGUAGCAAUACUUGCCUGAUUUUUAUUCAAUGCAAACAAUUCUUUAGUUCUCUGUAAUGAAAGACCUAUAUAAGAGCUAUUGUUUGCCUUAGUCUAGGAACAGACCUCAAGUAGGAGAGAUUCUGAGCUGCCAGUCCUUGACAACUUGCCCAAAAGCAUCAGAUCUGAUACCAAGGGCAGGAUCUAAUGAUAAAGGGAUGAGAAGCUUCUUUCUUUACCAGCUCAUCUGCAACCUCAUUGCCCUCAAUCCCUUUGUAUCCUUGCAUCUAAACAAGUUGAAUCCUGUUCCUGAUAGUCAUUUCCACAAUGAGAUGUUGUCAUUCCUAUGUGACUGUAUAUCCCAUUCAAAAAAUGAAUUUUUAUUUAAUGGGUCCAAGAAAUUCUUCUCUCAUAACAAUGGAGCUUAUAAUAAUCUUCUUGGGCACUAGCCUCAAUACAAGAUCAGAUGCAAGAAGGAAAUGCUCAAAAGGAUUUCAAGAUCAACAAUAUGAUCAUUUCUUGUACUCAAGUCAUUCUUUGAAUUUUGCUAAGUUCAGUCCUGCAUAUUUUUAACAGAACUUUCCAUCACCAAAUGAUGUAGCUUGUGGUCCACAUCUAAAAUUAUCCUCCUAAAAUAGGAUAUUUGAUAUGUUCUACAAUUUGACCCUUGAUCCACCAUUCUUUCAUCUUUGAACAAAAGCAAUAAAUACAUAUCUGGAAUAUAAAAUUACAUAAAAUCAAGCCUACUAACAGG
rnacentral:lncRNA from 1 species